GAUGAAGAACGCAGCGAAAUGCGAUAAGUAAUGUGAAUUGCAGAAUUCAGUGAAUCAUCGAAUCUUUGAACGCACCUUGCGCUCGUUGGUAUUCCGACGAGCAUGCCUGUUUGAGUGUCAUUAAAUUCUCAACCUCACCACUUUUGUAAUGAAAGUGUGUGUUGGCUUGGAUGUGGGGGUUUGCAGGUCCGCUCUUUUGUGGUCUGCUCCUCUGAAAUGUAUUAGUGGGUUUGGUCCCCUAAUCUAUUGGUGUGAUAAUUAUCUACGCCGUGGAUUGGAAGACUAUUAUGAACCUGCUUCUAACCGUCCCUUACACGGACAAUACUUGACAUUUUUGACCUCAAAUCAGGUAAGACUACCCGCUGAACUUAAGCAUAUCAAUAAGCGGAGGA
rnacentral:misc_RNA from 1 species